rnacentral:rRNA from 1 species
GACGAACGCUGGCGGCGUGCCUAAUACAUGCAAGUCGAACGCAGUGGGGACGGGUGAGUAACACGUGGGUAACCUCCCAUCAGAGGGGAUAACACUUGGAAAAAGGUGCUAAACCGAUACUGAUGGAUGGACUCGCGGGGCAGUAGCUAGAUGGUGAGGGAAAGGCUCACCAAGGCCACGACGCAUAGCCGACCUGAGAGGGGUAUCGGCCACACUGGGACUGAGACACGGCCCAGACUCCUACGGGAGGCAGCAGUAGGGAAGUUUCGGCAAUGGACGAAAGUCUGACCUAGCAACGCCGCGUGAGUGAAGAAGGUUUUCGGAUCGUAAAGCUCUGUUGUUAGAGAAGCGGUAUCUAACCAGAAAGCCACGGCUAACUACGUGCCAGCAGCCGCGGUAAUUC